ACACGUUACAUUUGAUAAUUUCAACGUGUGUUUCUGUGUAGUAUACCACGGAAUAUUUUUUUUAUUUAUCCAAGAUCUCUAACUGGAGCUUUAUUUACAGAAAUGAUGGUAGGGCUGGCAGCGAUGUGAGUGAGGAGGACGCCACCGGCGGAGUCACUGGCAGUAGUGCUGACGGAGUGACAAGAGAAGGAAGUAGUUCCAGUGGAAGAGGAGAUGGAGCAGGAAAAAAAAAACAUUAGUACCGCCGCCACCGCCAGCAGGAGGAAGGGGAAGAGGCGGCCCCAGGAAGUACAACAUCCCAGCAGUGAGCUGAAGAAGCUUGACCAACUGUUUGUUUCCGAGGACGACAAGGUGACGUAUGAUCGCCGCCAGACGCCUUCUUACCCAGCAGGUAACGAUCGCCACCACCACCACCACCACCACCACCACCACCACUUCCACUUCCACCACCACCACCACCAUCACCAUCAAGAGGUGAAGUCCAAUGUAAGUGUGCCGUCACCUGUGUUCACGGAGGUCAAGGUAAGAAGCCACUGACCCACCACUCCUGCCCGCCACUCCGUCUGCUCGCCUUCACUUGGGUUCGGUGGAGGUGUUUCAUCGUCUUCGUUAAGACCUUGAUUCGAGCGGAAAAGCUUUGGUCUUCCGCGAGUCCAUAGUAACUGCGACCCGUCUGAAUUGACUAGCAGUACUUGGUUUAAUUUCGAGCAAUACGGCAAGGUCUGAGGUCUGUAAGGAUACCUACUGGGCAGCUCAGUAGCCUAUUCACGGCCAGGCAGGCAGACAGAACAACACUUCUUUAAGUCAGGCCGCAGCAGUCAUUGCCUCCUCCGGUCAGGGUCCAGAAAAGUUUGUAACGAGGGAUCACUGGAGGCUGAUAGGCGUUAGCAGAGUUGUCAUCUGUGGUGUGUAGAGACUGGCGGAGUUCCGGUACAAACCAAUGGGAAAAUAAGCACGCUAGGUAUCAGAGUCAACAGAGACUGAGGUGAAGUGAAGAGGGAAGGUGUGCACUUUGUGGUUGCCGGCAGAGAGAGAGAGAGAGAGAGAGAGAGAGAGAGAGAGAGAGAGAGAAUGGUGGGGAAGGAGAGAAUUGCCAAUAUGACGUGUGGGGAAGUCAGAGAGUGUUGGAUGAAAAAAUAAACUACAAACUACUGCGAUGAUGGUGAUUUGCUCCGAACGAGACUAAGACGACUUUACAUAAGGAAAAUUGCGGCCUAUUAACUGCUAACAAACUUUUCCUGGGAUGUGGCGGGCGGGAUAGCCAUUAUUACCACAUCUGAGUGUGUCUGUGUGUGUG